ACUAGAUAGAUCGAGAAAUAUUAAAUUACUAUUACUAUUAUCCAGGUUGAAAAAUGCCUUCCUCUAAAGUAAAAGGUUGCGAAGUCGAUUGGGGAAAAAUAAUGUGAAAAUGAAUUCUUUCCCAAAAGAAUCUGAACGACGGAAAGUGUGGAUUAAAAAUAUAGGGUUAAAACAAGAUCCAAACAAAUAUGCUGUUGUUUGUGAAGAACACUACUUCUGACAUGUGGAAAAAAGUUGGCAAGAUGGCAGCAGAAAAUUAAAAUGCAAUGCUGUACCAACAAUAUUUAGAGAAGAAAGCGAAAGUAUUUAAUUAUUUAUAUUGGUUUUUUGUUUAUUCACCAAUUUAACACCUAUAGAUAUUUGUAUAACAAGAGAGCGAAGUGCACCUUUUCCUCCCAAGAAUAAAGUUUACUACAGUAAUCAUUCAAGGGAGGAAAAGGCACUUCUCCCAUGUUAUACAUUUUUCCACCUCCCUCAAAUAAGUCAUUUUUCCAUUUUUAAAAUAUUUAUAUAACUGUUGAUUGAAUACAUGAAUCAUAAUUAAAUACAGGAAUUUAUGUAUUCAAUCAACAAUAGAACUAACAAAA
rnacentral:lncRNA from 1 species